GGUCAAGUUGUCAAGGGCGAACGGUGGAUGACUUGGAACCAGGAGCCGAUGAAGGACGAGGGAGGCAGCGAUAGGCCUGGGGGAGCUGUCAACCGAGCUGUGAUCCCAGGGUGUCCGAAUGGGGUAACCCGGCAUCAGUCAUGUGAUGUCACCUGAACCUGAACUCAUAGGGUGUGUGGAGGGAACGCGGGGAAGUGAAACAUCUCAGUACCCGUAGGAAGAGAAAACAAAUAGGGAUUCCGUGAGUAGUGGCGAGCGAAAGCGGAUUGAGGCUAAACCGGUUGCGUGUGAUACCUGUCAGGGGUUGCGUGGUCGGGGUUGUGGGACCCGGCGAAACGAGCUGACACUCGUUUGAGGAGUUAUAAAGCAAGUUGUUAGCUGAAUGGUCUGGAAAGGCUGACC
rnacentral:rRNA from 1 species